rnacentral:tRNA from 1 species
GAGUGUAUAGCUCAGUGGCAGAGCGCAUGCCUGGCAUGCACGAGGUCCUGGGUUCAAUCCCCAGUCCCUCU